GGAGCGGAGGCUUCAACGUGGACAGUUCAAGUACACCUUCGACCCCAACAUCACCUCUGCUGGCCCCACCAAGAGCUUCCUCAGUGGAGGACGUGAGAUAUGGGUCCGUGGCCAGAAUCUGGACGUGGUACAGACGCCAAGAAUCCGGGUGACCGUGGUCUCGAGAAUGCUGCAGCCCAGCCAGGGGCUUGGACGGAGGCGUCGCGUGGUCCCGGAGACGUUUGAGGAGCCAUGCCAUGUCAACUCCUCCCAGCUCAUCACGUGCCACACACCUGCCCUGCCAGGCCUGCCUGAGGACCCCUGGGUCCAGGUGGAAUUUAUCCUUGACAACCUGGUCUUUGACUUUGCAACACUGAACCCCACACCUUUCUCCUACGAGGCCGACCCCACCCUGCAGCCACUCAACCCUGAGGACCCCACCAUGCCGUUCCGGCACAAGCCUGGGAGUGUGUUCUCCGUGGAGGGGGAGAACCUGGACCUUGCAAUGUCCAAGGAGGAGGUGGUGGCUAUGAUAGGGGACGGCCCCUGUGUGGUGAAGACACUGACGCGGCACCACCUGUACUGCGAGCCCCCCGUGGAGCAGCCCCUGCCACGGCACCAUGCCCUCCGAGAGGCACCUGACUCUUU
rnacentral:sRNA from 1 species